rnacentral:rRNA from 1 species
UACGUAGGUGGCAAGCGUUGUCCGGAUUUACUGGGUGUAAAGGGCGUGCAGCCGGAGAGACAAGUCAGAUGUGAAAUCCACGGGCUCAACCCGUGAACUGCAUUUGAAACUGUUUCCCAUGAGUGUCGGAGAGGUAAUCGGAAUUCCUUGUGUAGCGGUGAAAUGCGUAGAUAUAAGGAAGAACACCAGUGGCGAAGGCGGAUUACUGGACGAUAACUGACGGUGAGGCGCGAAAGCGUGGGGAGCAAACAGG